rnacentral:rRNA from 1 species
UACGUAGGGGGCGAGCGUUAUCCGGAUUCACUGGGUGUAAAGGGAGCGUAGACGGCCAUGCAAGCCAGGGGUGAAAGCCCGGGGCCCAACCCCGGGACUGCCCUUGGAGCUGCAUGGCUGGAGUGCGGGAGGGGCAGGCGGAAUUCCUGGUGUAGCGGUGAAAUGCGUAGAUAUCAGGAGGAACACCGGCGGCGAAGGCGGCCUGCUGGACCGCGACUGACGUUGAGGCUCGAAAGCGUGGGGAGCGAACAGG